rnacentral:rRNA from 1 species
CCUACGGGUGGCAGCAGUGGGGAAUAUUGCGCAAUGGGCGAAAGCCUGACGCAGCGACGCCGCGUGAGGGAUGAAGGUCUUCGGAUCGUAAACCUCUGUCAGCAGGGAAGAACGGUCACUGUGCUAAUCAGCAGUGAAUUGACGGUACCUGCAAAGGAAGCACCGGCUAACUCCGUGCCAGCAGCCGCGGUAAUACGGAGGGGGCGAGCGUUAAUCGGAAUUACUGGGCGUAAAGCGCUCGUAGGCGGUAUGUCAAGUCAAGGGUGAAAUCCCCGGGCUAAACGUGGGAACUGCCUUUGAAACUGGGAAACUGGAGUGUGUGAGGGGAUGGUGGAAUUCCAGGUGUAGGAGUGAAAUCUGUAGAUAUCUGGAGGAACACCAGGGGCGAAGGCGACUAUCUGGAACAUAACUGACGCUGAGGAGCGAAAGCGUGGGUAGCAAACAGGAUUAGAUACCCGUGUAGUC